rnacentral:rRNA from 1 species
UACGAAGGGGGCUAGCGUUGCUCGGAAUGACUGGGCGUAAAGGGCGCGUAGGCGGUUUGUACAGUCAGGUGUGAAAUUCCCGGGCUCAACCUGGGGGCUGCACUUGAUACGUAGGAACUGGAGUGGGGAAGAGGGUCGUGGAAUUCCCAGUGUAGAGGUGAAAUUCGUAGAUAUUGGGAAGAACACCGGUGGCGAAGGCGGCGACCUGGUCCUUGACUGACGCUGAGGCGCGAAAGCGUGGG